rnacentral:rRNA from 1 species
UCUCCGUUGGUGAACCAGCGGAGGGAUCAUUACCGAGUUUACAACUCCCAAACCCAAUGUGAACCAUACCAAACUGUUGCCUCGGCGGGGUCACGCCCCGGGUGCGUCGCAGCCCCGGAACCAGGCGCCCGCCGGAGGGACCAACCAAACUCUUUUCUGUAGUCCCCUCGCGGACGUUAUUUCUUACAGCUCUGAGCAAAAAUUCAAAAUGAAUCAAAACUUUCAACAACGGAUCUCUUGGUUCUGGCAUCGAUGAAGAACGCAGCGAAAUGCGAUAAGUAAUGUGAAUUGCAGAAUUCAGUGAAUCAUCGAAUCUUUGAACGCACAUUGCGCCCGCCAGUAUUCUGGCGGGCAUGCCUGUCCGAGCGUCAUUUCAACCCUCGAACCCCUCCGGGGGGUCGGCGUUGGGGACCUCGGGAGCCCCUAAGACGGGAUCCCGGCCCCGAAAUACAGUGGCGGUCUCGCCGCAGCCUCUCCUGCGCAGUAGUUUGCACAACUCGCACCGGGAGCGCGGCGCGUCCACGUCCGUAAAACACCCAACUUCUGAAAUGUUGACCUCGGAUCAGGUAGGAAUACCCGCUGAACUUAAA